rnacentral:rRNA from 1 species
CACGUAGGGUGCGAGCGUUGUCCGGAAUUAUUGGGCGUAAAGAGCUCGUAGGCGGUCCAUCGCGUCGGGAGUGAAAAGCUGGGGCUUAACCCCAGUCCUGCUUCCGAUACGGGUGGACUAGAGGUAGGUAGGGGAGAGCGGAACUCCUGGUGUAGCGGUGGAAUGCGCAGAUAUCAGGAAGAACACCCGUGGCGAAGGCGGCUCUCUGGGACGGUACUGACGCUGAGACGCGAAAGCGUGGGGAGCGAACAGG